UACAAUUGGUACCGAUAAGGUUCACAGGAUAUAUGUGGUGCUUGGGCCUUGGAAAGCCUUUUUGAGAGAAGAUACAAGUCGCCCCAUCUCCACACCACACGGUAGUUGUAUCACCUCGGGCAAGAAGCAGCAGCAUCCAUGGCGCCAGCGAUGCAGAAGGCCGUCCCGUCCGGGAAGGAUCUCAAGGGCGAGAAGCCGCGGCCGAAGGGCAAACCCGAAGAGAAGGGCAAGCCUGAAGGCAAGGGAAAGCCCCACGCCGUCAUCGAUAGGAAAUUCUCCUAGUCUAUGAAUUAUGCUCCUUGCCUGAACAACGGUGCCCGGAGUGUGCUUGGUCUUCUCUAUUCCUGAUGCUAUCACCGGCGUGCUCGCUCUCACACCCUCUCCAUUUGUACUAAAUCAGCGACAACUAACAUGGGAUGGAGGGAGUAGCAUCUAGUUGCUCGCUCCUUCGACGUUGUUUGUCAUGUGUGUAGUUCGGUGUUCGAGCGUGAAGCGCAACACCAUCUGUUCAGCUUUGGUGUCUGUCAUUUGUGUGUUGUGUUGUGAGCUCCUUUAGCUGCCCUAUAUCUUGUAAUUUCUAAUGGAUUGAUGGAUUUUUAAUUCAAAA